rnacentral:rRNA from 1 species
AAUAUUGCACAAUGGAGGGACCUCUGCCGCAGCGACGCCGCGUGAAUGAUGAAGGUCUUCGGAUCGGUAAGGUCCGUCCUUUGGGACGAUAAUGACGGUACCAUAGGAGGAAGCACCAGCUAACUACGUGCCAGCAGCCGCGGCAAUACGUAGGGGGCGAGCGUUGUCCGGAUUUAUUGGGCGUAAAGGGUACGCAGGCGGCCAUGUAAGUCAGAUGUGAAAGAUCACGGCUCAACCGUGGUAAGCAUUUGGAACUGUGUGGCUUGAGUUAAGGAGAGGAGAGUGGAAUUCCUAGUGUGGCGGUGAAAUGCGUAGAUAUUAGGAGGGACACCAGUGGCGAAGGCGACUCUCUGGACUGCAACUGACGCUGAGGCACGAAAGCGUAGGGAGCGAACA